rnacentral:rRNA from 1 species
GUGGGGAAUCUUCCGCAAUGGACGAAAGUCUGACGGAGCAACGCCGCGUGAGUGAAGAAGGUUUUCGGAUCGUAAAGCUCUUUCGUUAGGGACGAACGUGCUCUUUGUGAAUAAUGAGGAGUAAUGACGGUACCUAAAUAAGAAGCCACGGCUAACUACGUGCCAGCAGCCGCGGUAAUACGUAGGUGGCAAGCGUUGUCCGGAAUUAUUGGGCGUAAAGCGAGCGCAGGCGGGAUAUCAAGUCUGUCUUAAAAGUGCGAGGCUCAACCUCGUGAGGGGACAGAAACUGGUAUUCUUGAGUGUCGGAGAGGAAAGUGGAAUUCCAAGUGUAGCGGUGAAAUGCGUAGAGAUUUGGAAGAACACCAGUGGCGAAGGCGACUUUCUGGACGAUGUCUGACGCUGAGGCGCGAAAGCUAGGGGAGCGAACGGGAUUAGAUACCCGUGUAGUCC